UGGGGAAUAUUGCACAAUGGGCGAAAGCCUGAUGCAGCGACGCCGCGUGAGCGAAGAAGUAUUUCGGUAUGUAAAGCUCUAUCAGCAGGGAAGAAAAUGACGGUACCUGACUAAGAAGCCCCGGCUAACUACGUGCCAGCAGCCGCGGUAAUACGUAGGGGGCAAGCGUUAUCCGGAUUUACUGGGUGUAAAGGGAGCGUAGGCGGCAAGACAAGUCUGAUGUGAAAGCCCGGGGCUCAACCCCGGGACUGCAUUGGAAACUGUACAGCUUGAGUGUCGGAGAGGUAAGCGGAAUUCCUAGUGUAGCGGUGAAAUGCGUAGAUAUUAGGAGGAACACCGGUGGCGAAGGCGGCUUACUGGACGAUAACUGACGCUGAGGCUCGAAAGCGUGGGGAGCAAACAGG
rnacentral:rRNA from 2 species